rnacentral:rRNA from 1 species
CAUGGUUCGAGAGUAAAAGGAGCUUUUGCUUCACUGCCAGAUGGACCCGCGGCGCAUUAGCUAGUUGGUGAGGUAACGGCUCACCAAGGCGACGAUGCGUAGCCGACCUGAGAGGGUGACCGGCCACACUGGGACUGAGACACGGCCCAGACUCCUACGGGAGGCAGCAGUAGGGAAUCUUCCGCAAUGGGCGCAAGCCUGACGGAGCAACGCCGCGUGAGUGAUGAAGGCCUUCGGGUUGUAAAACUCUGUCUUCUGUGAAGAACCAUCCUGUGCAGAGAAAGCUCAGGACCUGACGGUAACAGAGGAGGAAGCCCCGGCUAACUACGUGCCAGCAGCCGCGGUAAUACGUAGGGGGCAAGCGUUGUCCGGAUUCACUGGGCGUAAAGCGCGCGCAGGCGGUCUCUCACGUUCGGGGUGAAAGCCCAGAGCUCAACUCUGGGAUUGCCUUGGAUACCGGGAGAC